rnacentral:rRNA from 1 species
GACGAACGCUGGCGGCGUGCUUAACACAUGCAAGUCGAGCGGAAAGGCCCUUCGGGGGUACGACGAGCGGCGAACGGGUGAGUAACACGUGAGCAACCUACCUUCGACUCUGGGAUAAGCCCGGGAAACCGGGUCUAAUACCGGAUAUCAUCUCCAUCUUCAUGGGUGGGGUUGAAAGCUCCGGCGGUUGGGGAGUGGGCUCGCGGCCUAUCAGCUUGUUGGUGGGGUAAUGGCCUACCAAGGCUUCGACGGGUAGCCGGCCUGAGAGGGCGACCGGCCACACUGGGACUGAGACACGGCCCAGACUCCUACGGGAGGCAGCAGUGGGGAAUAUUGCGCAAUGGGCGGAAGCCUGACGCAGCAACGCCGCGUGAGGGAUGACGG